rnacentral:rRNA from 1 species
UAGAUGCAGUCGACGGUAACAGCAGAGCUUGCUCUGGCUGACGAGUGGCGGACGGGUGAGUAACGCGUAGGAAUCUACCCAGUAGCGGGGGAUAGCCCGGGGAAACCCGGAAUAAUACCGCAUACGCCCCACGGGGGAAAGAGGGCCUCUUCUUGAAAGCUCUCACUAUUGGAGGAGCCUGCGUUGGAUUAGCUAGUUGGUGGGGUAAAGGCCUACCAAGGCGACGAUCCAUAGCUGGUCUGAGAGGACGAUCAGCCACACUGGAACUGAGACACGGUCCAGACUCCUACGGGAGGCAGCAGUCAGGAAUAUUGUGCAAUGGGGGAAACCCUGACACAGCCCUGCCGCGUGUGUGAAGAAGGCCUUAGGGUUGUAAAGCACUUUCAGUAGGGAGGAACUAGCAGCGUUAAUACCGCUGUGAGAUGACGUUACCUACAGAAGAAGAUCCGGGCUAACUCCGUGCCAGCCGCCGGGCU